rnacentral:rRNA from 1 species
GACGAACGCUGGCGGCGUGCCUAAUACAUGCAAGUCGAACGCUAAAGCAGGAUCUUGCGUCUCUGGAUGAGUUGCGAACGGGUAACUAACGCGUAGGUAACCUUCCUCUCAGCGAGGGAUAACUAUUGGAAACGAUAGCUAAUACCGCAACAUAUUGACUCUUGCAUGAUAGUCAGUUGAAAGUUGCACUUGCACCACUACCAGAUGCACCUCCGUUGUAUGAGCUAGUUUGUGGGGUAACGGCUCACCAAGGCGACGAGACAUAGCCGACCUGCGAGGGUGAGCGGCCUGACUGGGAUUGAGACACGGCCCAGACUGCUACGGGAGGGACCCGUAGUGAAUCUUCGGGAAUGGACGGAAUUCUGACCGAGAAACGCCGAGGGAGUGCAGAAUGUUGCCGGGUCGUGAAGGUCUGUUGUAAGUGAAGAACGAGUGUGAGAGUGGCAAGAUCAGACUGUGACGGUAUCGUAAGAGAAAGCGACGGCUAACUACGUG